AACAGGUUCACCCAGGAAAUUCAGAAUUGGGAAACGAAAAGCAAGAGUAACAGUGCAAAUACUGUUUGUCGAGAUGCGGCUGGUUGAAAGGAUGGAAUUUAGAGCAUGCAGUACACUUUCAUUCCCGUCUGAAUGAAAAUACAUUAUAAGUUAUCA